rnacentral:rRNA from 1 species
AUUGAACGCUGGCGGCAGGCCUAACACAUGCAAGUCGAACGAGAGGCGGACGGGUGAGUAAUGUAUGGGGAUCUGCCUGAUAGAGGGGGCUAACUACUGGAACCGGUGGCUACUACCGCAUACUAUCGGUUGAACCCAGAUGGGAUUAGCUAGUAGGUGGGGUAAAGGCUCACCUAGGCGACGAUCGCUAGCUGGUCUGAGAGGAUGACCAGCCAAACUGGGACUGAGACACGGCCCAGACUCCUACGUGAGGCAGCAGUGGGGAAGAUUGCACAAUGGGCGCAAGCCUGAUGCAGCCAUGCCGCGUGUAUGAAGAAGGCCUUAGGGUUGUAAAGUACUUUCAGCGGGGAGGCGUUACCCGCAGAAGAAGCACCGGCUAACUCCGUGCCAGCAGCCGCGGUAAUUC